AUUGAACGCUGGCGGCAGGCCUAACACAUGCAAGUCGAACGGUAACAGGAAGCAGCUUGCUGCUUUGCUGACGAGUGGCGGACGGGUGAGUAAUGUCUGGGAAACUGCCUGAUGGAGGGGGAUAACUACUGGAAACGGUAGCUAAUACCGCAUAACGUCGCAAGACCAAAGAGGGGGACCUUCGGGCCUCUUGCCAUCGGAUGUGCCCAGAUGGGAUUAGCUAGUAGGUGGGGUAACGGCUCACCUAGGCGACGAUCCCUAGCUGGUCUGAGAGGAUGACCAGCCACACUGGAACUGAGACACGGUCCAGACUCCUACGGGAGGCAGCAGUGGGGAAUAUUGCACAAUGGGCGCAAGCCUGAUGCAGCCAUGCCGCGUGUAUGAAGAAGGCCUUCGGGUUGUAAAGUACUUUCAGCGGGGAGGAAGGGAGUAAAGUUAAUACCUUGGCUCAUUGACGUUACCCGCAGAAGAAGCACCGGCUAACUCCGCG
rnacentral:rRNA from 1 species